rnacentral:tRNA from 1 species
GGACUGUGGCUCCGUGGUAGAGUGCUCGCCUAGCACGUGCCAGGCCCUGGGUUUGAUCCUCAGCACCA